GAUGAAGAACGCAGCGAAAUGCGAUAAGUAAUGUGAAUUGCAGAAUUCAGUGAAUCAUCGAAUCUUUGAACGCACAUUGCGCCCGGCAGUACUCUGCCGGGCAUGCCUGUUCGAGCGUCAUUUCAACCCUCAAGCCCUGCUUGGUGUUGUGGUCCCACGGCCGCCGUGGGCCCUGAAAGGAAGUGGCGGGCUCGCUACAACUCCGAGCGUAGUAAUUCUGUUUCUCGCUUAGGGCGUUGGGCGGCGCUCCAGCCGUUAAAGUACCCAUCUUUAACUCAAGGUUGACCUCGGAUCAGGUAGGAAUACCCGCUGAACUUAAGCAUAUCAAUAAGCGGAGGA
rnacentral:misc_RNA from 1 species